CACUUGCAGAAGUCAAGGAAGAAACCAGGCUCCUGCUAGCAACUACCAAUCCGGACUCCUACUUCGCGGGUUUUGGCCAAUUGCCGCUCACCCGUCCCUGGGGACUGGAGUCGGCGCUCUCGCGCCUGCGCUCGAGAGGAAGACCAAUGGAGAGACGCAGAUAACUUCGAUUUGGGGCUUCAUGGACUUCCCACCUGCCCUCGAGGUCUUCCACCAAUAAGGGCCUGGGAUUGCCUCCGAGAAACAAUAAAUAAGGGAGGGGGUCCACAAACCCUCACCUCCCUGCGCGGGAACUACUUUGAGUUACGAAAAGAGACUGAUAGCCAUAAAGGUCAACUAUCUAAGGUUAACUCUGUAAUUCUACAACUAGUUCAGACCUCAAACAUAGAUCUCCUAAAAUAAGAUUUCACUACUUUGGCGACAGCAGCAUAGAGCUUUGGAGAAGGGCAGUGAGAGUGCUUGGAAGGGGAGGCACCUCAAGAGAAGCAGAUUGGGUGUACGGGAAGACCCAGCCUUUGGGGAACCUAACCCACAUAUGAGGAAGAUCACAAUUCUUCAGGAAGCUUUUGAACAUCUCCAGAGCCUGAACAGAGAGAGAGAGAGAGAGAGAGAGAGAGAGAGAGCAAGCAGGAAGACCAGAGAGAGGGAGACAGAAUCCCAAGCAGGCUCCGCGCCAUCAGCACAGAGUCCAUGCGAGGCUGGAACCCAGGAAUGUGAGAUCAUGACCGGAGGCGAAGUUAAGAGUUGGACGUUUACUGACUGAGCCACCCAGGUGCCUCCACAAUUUAUUUUUUAAAAUUUGGCUCAUUCAGACAGAGGCAAGGGCUCUCUGGUCCUCUUCUCCCACCUAUUGUCACUCCUUAUAACUUGCCACCUAUUUCCACCUGGGCAUGCGCAGCAGGAACUUUGCAAGGCUGAAUGGCUGCCAAACUUCUUGGCAGAAAUCUGAGCUAGAGUACCCGGUAAAUGCUCCUGAAGUGUUAAUUCUUGUUUGAAAACCAAAAUUUGGUGACCUGCAACAGCUCCCUGUAUACAAUAAUCCUUUGUCAAUGAUCAAAUGAAAUUGUGAGUAAAUAAAAGAUAAAAAUAAAAAAAUAAAAUAAAUGAA